GUGAAGAAGAAGAAAUGCCGCAUCCAAGCGAGUUAGUGAGAGAGGGAAGCACUGCUGCGACCCUACGUUCUUUGUUAAUGCUUGUAAAAUAUCUACAGAGGCAACGCCUGCAGAGUUGGUGCCCUACACACAGUGCGUGUUAUGCGUAUGCGGAGCGCCGUGUCUGCUACUAUCCCAUGCCUGCUAACAAGCAUAUUUUGGAGCUGUGGGCAUCUCUCUGCUAAAAAGUUCCAUGUGUUGUGAGGUUCACAGGGCAAUUCAUCAAGCGUAAUGAUGCGCGGGCACUCUGAGCCUUGCCAGUUGCCACGACCACACCUCCAGUUGAUCUUCAAUCAACAUCUGCCAGCAAUCAAGCCAUCACUCAGCCGCUUAUGUACCUGGAACCCACCACCACCAGCGUGUCUUAUUGUUGUAGCAACCGCAGUGGUAGCUAAUGUCUCAAGCCACGGCUCAGCUGUUUAAUACUGUCUCUGUGUGUUUUUCCCUUACGCAUCUAAGCUGUGUUUUCAUCUGCUUAAGAUCAUCAUCACCAGAUGCCUGCCCUCCACCGCCUCGUAGAUGUCAUCACUGUAAGAUACCUCAGCAAUUCACUUUGCUUCUCUUCUCUUUUUUUUUCCAUCACAAAGCUUUAUUGUAACAAUAUUCAUACACUGCUGGCCAAAAGUAUUGGCGCCCCUGCAUUUCUGUCAGAUAAUGCUCAAUUUCCCCCAGAAAAUGAUUGCAAUUACAAAUAGUUUGGUAGUAAUACCUCCGUUUAUUUUGCUUGCAAUGAAAAAACACAAAAGAGAGAAGAAAAAAAAAAGAAUCAUUAUCAUUUUGCAAAAAAACUCCAAAAAUGAGCCGGACAAAAGUAUUGGCACCCUUUGAAAAAUCUUGUGAUGCUUCUCUAAUUUGUGUAAUUAACAGCACCUGUUACUUACCUGUGGCACAUAACAGGUGGUGGCAAUAACUAAAUCACACUUGCAGCCAGUUAAAAUGGAUUAAAGUUGACUCCACCUCUGUCCUGUGUCCUUGUGUGUACCACAUUGAGCAUGGAGAAAAGAAAUAAUACCAAAGAACUGUCUGAGGACUUGAGUAGCAAAAUUCUGAGGAAGCAUGGGCAAUUUCAAGGCUACAAGUCCAUCUCCAAAGACCUGAAUGUUCUUGUGUCUACUAUGUGCAGUGUCAUCAUUAAGUAUAAAGCAAUAAGUAUAAAGCCCAUGGCACUGUGGCUAGCCUCGCUAGAUGUGGACAGAAAAGAAAAAUUGACGAGAGAUUAAAAAAAAAAAAAUUGUGCGGAUGGAGGAUAAAAAAACCUCGACUAACAUACAAACAAGUUCAAGCUGUCCUGCAGUCCAAGUGUACAACAAUGUCAA